rnacentral:rRNA from 1 species
AUGAUACCGGUAGUCCACGCCGUAAACGAUGAGUGCUAAGUGUUAGGGGGUUUCCGCCCCUUAGUGCUGCAGCUAACGCAUUAAGCACUCCGCCUGGGGAGUACGGUCGCAAGACUGAAACUCAAAGGAAUUGACGGGGGCCCGCACAAGCGGUGGAGCAUGUGGUUUAAUUCGAAGCAACGCGAAGAACCUUACCAGGUCUUGACAUCCCGCUGACCGCUAUGGAGACAUAGCUUUCCCUUCGGGGACAGCGGUGACAGGUGGUGCAUGGUUGUCGUCAGCUCGUGUCGUGAGAUGUUGGGUUAAGUCCCGCAACGAGCGCAACCCUUGUCCUUAGUUGCCAUCAUUCAGUUGGGCACUCUAAGGAGACUGCCGUACAAAUACGGAGGAAGGUGGGGAUGACGUCAAAUCAUCAUGCCCCUUAUGACCUGGGCUACACGCGUGCUACAAUGGACGGUACAAACGGUUGCGAAGUCGCGAGACGGAGCCAAUCCGAGAAAGCCGUUCUCAGUUCGGAUUGCAGGCUGCAAC